GGUCAAGGGAGUUCUUUGUACUCUUUCAUUUAUUUGCUGAACUCUGACUAGUUUGCUGACUAUAAACCUUUACAUUCAUCUUGCUCUUUUCCACUUAAGGGGGUUGUUUAUUAAUUCACUAAAUAUUUAUUGAAUGUCAGUUAGCAUUCAACAAUGGGCAUGUAAAUAAAUGGACAUGGGUUUAAGCAUCAAGGGGCUCCCUAUCUAAUGUAAUAGCAAAUGGGUCCCUCAACUCAUUAAAAAUAUCAAAUUUUUGAAUUAUAAUAAUGUGAACACAAUUUCAGCAGUUCAGAAGGUUGAUCCUGACUAUCACCCAUAAGGGGAUAUAUAAUCUUGUCUGUAGUGUUGAACUAGCUUUUUGAUAGCCAAGAGGUGGUAGGAGGCAUUUCAGGAGAAAAUAAAGAAUGCCAUGAAAAAUCAUACAGCAUGUAAUUAUAUGCUCCGGGACAAAGCAUCGAAGACUGUGACUAGAGCACGUGUGCAUGGGGCAAAAAUAGCAGGAAAUGAGGAUGGAAAUCGUCAAUUAAAACUGGGUUAUGAUAAUUCUUGAAACCAUUGCAAGGAGCAAAGAACUCAUCAUAUAAUAACCGCAUUUAGAGAAAACAGUUACGAAGAACUCAUCAUGCAAUAACCGCAUUUAGAGAAAACAGUUACGAAGAACUCAUCAUGCAAUGACCGCAUUUAGAGAAAACAGUUACGAAGAACUCAUCAUGCAAUGACCGCAUUUAGAGUAAACAGUUACGAAGAACUCAUCAUAUAAUAACUGCAUUUAGAGAAAACAGUUACGAAGAACUCAUCAUAUAAUAACUGCAUUUAGAGAAAACAGUUACAAAGAAAAAAAAGGCCUACAUCACAGCUUUAUCACCGAAGACUCUUGAGAUUAAUACUGUAUUAUAUUCAUCUAUCAUGUCUCUUUGGAAUCCCCUAGAUAAUAACAAUUUGUUAGACUUUGCUUGCUUUUGAUGACUUUGACACGUUUAGAGUACCGGGCACCCUCCUUCAUUGGACAUGGACCACCCAUGCUUGGCCAGGUUUCCAGGCUUCAAGAACAGUAUCCUGGGUGUGAGAAUUGCUCCAGACUCAUCCUCUCCCUGCUACCUGUGCCUUCAUGUCUUCUGACACAAGCUGAUUUCUGA
rnacentral:lncRNA from 13 species